rnacentral:rRNA from 1 species
GAUGAAUGCUGGCGGCGUGCCUAAUACAUGCAAGUCGAGCGAACAGACGAGGAGCUUGCUCCUCUGACGUUAGCGGCGGACGGGUGAGUAACACGUGGAUAACCUACCUAUAAGACUGGGAUAACUUCGGGAAGCCGGAGCUAAUACCGGAUAAUAUAUUGAACCGCAUGGUUCAAUAGUGAAAGACGGUUUUGCUGUCACUUAUAGAUGGAUCCGCGCCGCAUUAGCUAGUUGGUAAGGUAACGGCUUACCAAGGCAACGAUGCGUAGCCGACCUGAGAGGGUGAUCGGCCACACUGGAACUGAGACACGGUCCAGACUCCUACGGGAGGCAGCAGUAGGGAAUCUUCCGCAAUGGGCGAAAGCCUGACGGAGCAACGCCGCGUGAGUGAUGAAGGUCUUCGGAUCGUAAAACUCUGUUAUUAGGGAAGAACAAAUGUGUAAGUAACUAUGCACGUCUUGACGGUACCUAAUCAGAAAGCCACGGCUAACUACGUG